rnacentral:rRNA from 1 species
CCUACGGUCGGCAGCAGUGGGGAAUAUUGCACACUGGGGGAAACCCUGAUGCAGCGACGCCGCGUGAGUGAAGGAGUAUUUCGGUAUGUAAAGCUCUCUCAGCGGGGAAGAAAAUGACGGUACCUGAUUAGUACGCCCCGGCUACCUACGUGCCAGCAGCCGCGGUAAUACGUCGGGGGCAAGCGUUAUCCGGGUUUACGUGGUGUAACGGUGGCGUAUGCGGCAGUACACGUCUGGUGUGAAAUGCCGGGGCUUAACCCCGGAACUGCUUUGGAAACUGUGCAGCUAGAGUGCAGGAGAGGUAAGUGGAAUUCCUAGUGUAGCGGUGAAAUGCGUAGAUAUUAGGAGGAACACCAGUGGCGAAGGCGGCUUACUGGACUGUAACUGACGUUGAGGCUCGAAAGCGUGGGGAGCAAACAGGAUUAGAUACCCUUGUAGUC